rnacentral:tRNA from 2 species
UCCGAAUUGGUGUAGGGGUCAACAUUUCUGGUUUUCAUCCAGGAGCCACGGGUUCGAUUCCCGUAUUCGGAA